GCCCCGGCCGGCCACUGGGCAGGGGGGGCAGGGGCCAGGCCCCCCCCCCGGGGGCGCUCGGGCGGGGGCGCGGCUUUGUGGCGGCUGCGGAGGCCGGGUACAGCCCCGUGGGCACGGCGAGCUGCUCGCGCUUGCGGGAAAGCCUGUCUCUCCGAGCGUGGCUGAGGAGGGGGCUGGGUUUCUUUUUGUUUUUAAAAGUCUCCUUUCGCCCUCGUUAGCCCCCCGCGUGCCGCCGAGAGGAUCGCGUGGAAUGGCUGCAGGGCCCCAGGGCGCACCCCACCCCACGCACGCCCUCUGGGGCGCCAGAAGGCGCAGCCCCGGAGGGAUCCCUGUACCGGGAGGAGGCGCGGCUGACACCUCCGAUGCCAAGUUUCUAGGGGAAAAAAAUUUGACUGCAAACCAGUAAAGCAGCAGAGAGCCAGUGAGGAUGCGAGCACUACAGAGAGUGCGAUGGGAGCACCCAGACUGCUGACCAGCACUGACUCCGUUUUGGCUGCAGGGUUGUGUGUCCUCUUCUCUGCCUGAUGUCAUCCUGGGACAUGGUUGGGACACCCUGAUGUCACAAGGUGGAAGAUGAAAAGACAAACUCUGACACAUGCGAAGAAUGUGAUGCGGGGACCAGCUUGUCUUGAGUGGUUGUACAUUUCUAUCUGCUCCUCUUAGCUCUGUUCAUCUCCCUACUUCAGCAUGCACUUGAUGCUGAAGGGACCCAUGAGCCUUGGAGCUGCUCAAGGUGCUCUCUGGCUCUGGAUUUUACAGUAAUGAAUGCACCCACCACCAAAGUAAUAAUAAACUCACAGCCUCAUCA